UGUCAUCUGCAUGUAUUAUGAAGUCAUGCUUGCUUGCAUCAGGAACUCCCAUGAGUUUUCCAUGCCAGUCUCCAGGGUGCUUUUCUAGCCUCUCCUGAUGGUGAAAAGUCCUUUGGUUAUGUGGGCAUCAAACUAUGGAAAUUGAAGCUACCCAGAUGAGAAGAUAAGUUGACUCUUCUUGCGAAGCACAAGACAUAAAGGACCACCUUUCUAUGACUACCUCAGAAUUCUUCCUCAGGUCUGAAGAUGAAACCACCUAAGCAGAGGGCCUGGAAGAUCAUGGGAGGAAGCAGGAGGGUCGGCUCUCUUGAUUUAGAGCUUCCCAGUGUCCACCUUGCUACCAGGGAUCCAAAACAAAGUUAAUCUGAUCAACCAGGAUCAAUAGAGGAGUGAAGAUUCACAUUUCUUUGAAGCUGGUAAAGGCAAAUAAAUAAUCCUU